CAACAUUACAUAGCUUUUUAUAAAUUCAGCUGAAUAUCAGAAGCUUUAUGCAGAACUGCCUUGGAGUAGGCCAGCAUCUAAAAGUUUUCCCUGCAAAAACUGAAUCUCAUCUGAACAUUUACUCACUUAAAAAAAAAAUCUUUAUUAUCAUCCUGAAGAAACUCUUACAGCCUUUGAAUUUGAAAAUAAUGACAAAGUGAAGACUCUAAAGGGACAAUGAAAAGAAUGCAUCAGUCUUGCUCAGUUCAAGGUUUCUACCGUCUGUGGAACAUGGAAUCAAACCAGAAUAUGUUGGCACAACAGGCCAGUCAGACCGGUUCUUCUGUAGAUCCAGAACCCGUCCAACCAGUCUCCAUCAAAGGCUAGCCCAACAAGCUGCAGCCCAACAAGCUCAGCUCUGCUAAGCUUGUACAGAUCCAAAUGUCAGCUAGAGUAUCCCAGGAUCUGAGAUUUAGAUAUUGUUGGCGUUAACCACAUUCCGCACCAGUGGAGACUCUGGAGGCCUCCUAUGUGACUUCUACAGAUUUCUGAGUGAGGGGCAGUGAGAUAAGGGGCUGGGGAAUGUCAGACUGAUGCUCUCCUGGUCACCCCUGGCUCUGGGCCCCUGUUUCCACAUGUCAUAGACUCGUUGAAGACUGGGGGGUGGCUUACAUCACAGCAAUAUCAUCAGUACUGUUUGCCAAGAAUACCUACCCUGAACCACUCCUGAAGAAAUUUCCUUUGGCCCUUCACUCACCAUAGUCCUUCCACUUCAAACUUCCCCUGCUGAAUUCUUUCUCCAUCUCUUUUCAGGAGGGAGUAAUUUUUUUCUGAUGUCAGGCUGAGUAGCUUUACUAUUUCCUUUG